rnacentral:rRNA from 1 species
CUACGUGCCAGCAGCCGCGGUAAUACGUAGGGUGCGAGCGUUAAUCGGAAUUACUGGGCGUAAAGCGAGCGCAGACGGUUACUUAGGCAGGAUGUGAAAUCCCCGGGCUCAACCUGGGAACUGCGUUCUGAACUGGGUGACUAGAGUGUGUCAGAGGGAGGUAGAAUUCCACGUGUAGCAGUGAAAUGCGUAGAGAUGUGGAGGAAUACCGAUGGCGAAGGCAGCCUCCUGGGAUAACACUGACGUUCAUGCUCGAAAGCGUGGGUAGCAAACAGGAUUAGAUACCCUGGUAGUCCACGCCCUAAACGAUGUCAAUUAGCUGUUGGGCAACUUGAUUGCUUAGUAGCGUAGCUAACGCGUGAAAUUGACCGCCUGGGGAGUACGGUCGCAAGAUUAAAACUCAAAGGAAUUGACGGGGACCCGCACAAGCGGUGGAUGAUGUGGAUUAAUUCGAUGCAACGCGAAGAACCUUACCUGGUCUUGACAU